UACGUAGGGUGCAAGCGUUAAUCGGAAUUACUGGGCGUAAAGCGUGCGCAGGCGGUUUUGUAAGUUUGUCGUGAAAGCCCCGGGCUCAACCUGGGAAUGGCGAUGAAGACUGCAAGGCUUGAAUCUGGCAGAGGGGGGUAGAAUUCCACGUGUAGCAGUGAAAUGCGUAGAGAUGUGGAGGAACACCGAUGGCGAAGGCAGCCUCCUGGGCCAGCACUGACGCUCAUGCACGAAAGCGUGGGGAGCAAACAGG
rnacentral:rRNA from 1 species